UUAAGCGACUAAGCGUACACGGUGGAUGCCCUGGCAGUCAGAGGCGAUGAAGGACGUGCUAAUCUGCGAUAAGCGUCGGUGAGGUGAUAUGAACCGUUAUAACCGGCGAUUUCCGAAUGGGGAAACCCAGUGUGUUUCGACACACUAUCAUUAACUGAAUCCAUAGGUUAAUGAGGCGAACCGGGGGAACUGAAACAUCUAAGUACCCCGAGGAAAAGAAAUCAACCGAGAUUCCCCCAGUAGCGGCGAGCGAACGGGGAGGAGCCCAGAGCCUGAAUCAGUGUGUGUGUUAGUGGAAGCGUCUGGAAAGGCGCGCGAUACAGGGUGACAGCCCCGUACACAAAAAUGCACAUAUUGUGAGCUCGAUGAGUAGGGCGGGACACGUGGUAUCCUGUCUGAAUAUGGGGGGACCAUCCUCCAAGGCUAAAUACUCCUGACUGACCGAUAGUGAACCAGUACCGUGAGGGAAAGGCGAAAAGAACCCCGGCGAGGGGAGUGAAAAAGAACCUGAAACCGUGUACGUACAAGCAGUGGGAGCCUCUUAAUGGGGUGACUGCGUACCUUUUGUAUAAUGGGUCAGCGACUUAUAUUCUGUAGCAAGGUUAACCGAAUAGGGGAGCCGAAGGGAAACCGAGUCUUAACUGGGCGUUAAGUUGCAGGGUAUAGACCCGAAACCCGGUGAUCUAGCCAUGGGCAGGUUGAAGGUUGGGUAACACUAACUGGAGGACCGAACCGACUAAUGUUGAAAAAUUAGCGGAUGACUUGUGGCUGGGGGUGAAAGGCCAAUCAAACCGGGAGAUAGCUGGUUCUCCCCGAAAGCUAUUUAGGUAGCGCCUCGUGAAUUCAUCUCCGGGGGUAGAGCACUGUUUCGGCAAGGGGGUCAUCCCGACUUACCAACCCGAUGCAAACUGCGAAUACCGGAGAAUGUUAUCACGGGAGACACACGGCGGGUGCUAACGUCCGUCGUGAAGAGGGAAACAACCCAGACCGCCAGCUAAGGUCCCAAAGUCAUGGUUAAGUGGGAAACGAUGUGGGAAGGCCCAGACAGCCAGGAUGUUGGCUUAGAAGCAGCCAUCAUUUAAAGAAAGCGUAAUAGCUCACUGGUCGAGUCGGCCUGCGCGGAAGAUGUAACGGGGCUAAACCAUGCACCGAAGCUGCGGCAGCGACACUAUGUGUUGUUGGGUAGGGGAGCGUUCUGUAAGCCUGUGAAGGUGUACUGUGAGGUAUGCUGGAGGUAUCAGAAGUGCGAAUGCUGACAUAAGUAACGAUAAAGCGGGUGAAAAGCCCGCUCGCCGGAAGACCAAGGGUUCCUGUCCAACGUUAAUCGGGGCAGGGUGAGUCGACCCCUAAGGCGAGGCCGAAAGGCGUAGUCGAUGGGAAACAGGUUAAUAUUCCUGUACUUGGUGUUACUGCGAAGGGGGGACGGAGAAGGCUAUGUUGGCCGGGCGACGGUUGUCCCGGUUUAAGCGUGUAGGCUGGUUUUCCAGGCAAAUCCGGAAAAUCAAGGCUGAGGCGUGAUGACGAGGCACUACGGUGCUGAAGCGACAAAUGCCCUGCUUCCAGGAAAAGCCUCUAAGCAUCAGGUAACAUCAAAUCGUACCCCAAACCGACACAGGUGGUCAGGUAGAGAAUACCAAGGCGCUUGAGAGAACUCGGGUGAAGGAACUAGGCAAAAUGGUGCCGUAACUUCGGGAGAAGGCACGCUGAUAUGUAGGUGAAGCGACUUGCUCGUGGAGCUGAAAUCAGUCGAAGAUACCAGCUGGCUGCAACUGUUUAUUAAAAACACAGCACUGUGCAAACACGAAAGUGGACGUAUACGGUGUGACGCCUGCCCGGUGCCGGAAGGUUAAUUGAUGGGGUUAGCGGUAACGCGAAGCUCUUGAUCGAAGCCCCGGUAAACGGCGGCCGUAACUAUAACGGUCCUAAGGUAGCGAAAUUCCUUGUCGGGUAAGUUCCGACCUGCACGAAUGGCAUAA
rnacentral:rRNA from 1 species